rnacentral:tRNA from 1 species
GCCGAAGUGGCGGAACUGGCAGACGCGCUGCGUUCAGGGCGCAGUGGGCUUCGGCCCUUGUGGGUUCAACUCCCACCUUCGGCA